rnacentral:rRNA from 1 species
AGGGGUUUGAUCAUGGCUCAGAACGAACGCUGGCGGCGCGCCUAACACAUGCAAGUCGAACGAGAAUCCGGGGCAACUCGGUAGUAAAGUGGCAAACGGGUGAGGAAUGUAUGGGUAACCUACCCUUGAGAAGGGAAUAACCCGCCGAAAGGUGAGCUAAUACCCUAUACGCUUCUCUUUUUAUGAAGAGGGAAGGAAAGCUAAGCCGUGGGUUUGGCACUCAAGGAGGGGCUCAUGUCCUAUCAGCUUGUUGGUGGGGUAACGGCCUACCAAGGCUACGACGGGUAGCUGGUCUGAGAGGAUGAUCAGCCACACUGGCACUGAGAUACGGGCCAGACUCCUACGGGAGGCAGCAGUGAGGAAUAUUGCGCAAUGGGCGAAAGCCUGACGCAGCGACGCCGCGUGGGGGAUGAAGGUUUUCGGAUUGUAAACCCCUUUUGUGAGGAAAGAGAAAGUGGGUAACCACUUAGACGGUACCUCAAGAAAAAGCCACGGCUAACUUCGUGCCAGCAGCCGCGGUAAUACGAAGGUGGCGAGCGUUGUUCGGAUUUACUGGGCGUAAAGAGCACGUAGGCGGUUGGGUAAGCCUCUUGGGAAAGCUCCCGGCUUAACCGGGAAAGGUCGAGAGGAACUACUUAGCUAGAGGACGGGAGAGGAGCGCGGAAUUCCCGGGUGUAGCGGUGAAAUGCGUAGAUAUCGGGAAGAAGGCCGGUGGCGAAGCGGCGCUCUGGAACGUACCUGACGCUGAGGUGCC